CAUGCAAGUCGGACGGCAGCACAGAGAAGCUUGCUUCUUGGGUGGCGAGUGGCGAACGGGUGAGUAACAUAUCGGAACGUACCGAGCAGUGGGGGAUAACUAAUCGAAAGAUUAGCUAAUACCGCAUAUAUUCUGAGGAAGAAAGCAGGGGACCAUUUGGCCUUGCGCUGUUUGAGCGGCCGAUAUCUGAUUAGCUAGUUGGUGGGGUAAAGGCCUACCAAGGCGACGAUCAGUAGCGGGUCUGAGAGGAUGAUCCGCCACACUGGGACUGAGACACGGCCCAGACUCCUACGGGAGGCAGCAGUGGGGAAUUUUGGACAAUGGGCGCAAGCCUGAUCCAGCCAUGCCGCGUGUCUGAAGAAGGCCUUCGGGUUGUAAAGGACUUUUGUCAGGGAAGAAAAGGGCGGGGUUAAUACCCCUGUCUGAUGACGGUACCUGAAGAAUAAGCACCGGCUAACUACGUGCCAGCAGCCGCGGUAAUACGUAGGGUGCGAGCGUUAAUCGGAAUUACUGGGCGUAAAGCGGGCGCAGACGGUUACUUAAGCAGGAUGUGAAAUCCCCGGGCUCAACCUGGGAACUGCGUUCUGAACUGGGUGACUAGAGUGUGUCAGAGGGAGGUAGAAUUCCACGUGUAGCAGUGAAAUGCGUAGAGAUGUGGAGGAAUACCGAUGGCGAAGGCAGCCUCCUGGGAUAACACUGACGUUCAUGCCCGAAAGCGUGGGUAGCAAACAGGAUUAGAUACCCUGGUAGUCCACGCCCUAAACGAUGUCGAUUAGCUGUUGGGCAGCAUGACUGCUUAGUAGCGAAGCUAACGCG
rnacentral:rRNA from 1 species